rfam:Gossypium hirsutum cultivar TM-1 chromosome 16, whole genome shotgun sequence
AGCCGUGCGGUGAGCACAGAGCGAACUAUUCUUUCGCCUUUUACUAAAGAAUACCGUGUGCUCGCCGUUUAAAGCGGCAUACGCUAAUUUUUGGAGGGUUGUUCUUUUUAAUAACG